ensembl:lncRNA
GUGGCUGUUGCGCACUCAGAAAAAGAGUCCAGGCCCUCGACAGAUCAUCUGUGUCUGGCUUCGGUCCCUCAGUUCAGAUGGACUCUACAGACCUGCAGGCCUUCUGACCUUGAACAUUAAAGAGAGAAGACAAGCAAACAAACGCAGGAGCGCUCUGCAGCGGACGACUCAUCCUGUCCUGAAACAACAUGGCUGAUCGCAGACAGACAGCAAAAACUAACAGUCCGCUUCAAAGACUCACAUCCCGGCGAGUCGGGUGACUUCUGCUGGUUUAUUCAUCAGAGAUGCAGCACAUGGGAUGAAGUUUUUGUUUUACUGUCAGUCAAUGAAUCCAUUCCGAAUGCAGGAGUGAUUCGACUUCAAACCAACUCUCUGACAAACCUGAACCCCGUUCAGCCCCACGACUCUCCGUCCAUCAUCCCUGACGACUGCGGCGUUCGCUUCCACGUCACGCCGCACCUGAGACACCUGCCACAACACACUCUCUGUGUCAGACUGACAGGCAUCAUGGGAAACCACUUACACUGUCCGCCGUUUCUGGUCAUCAUACGGAAAAAACUGUAGGAGUCUGACUGAUUCUUGAAGGAAUCUAUAAACAUUAUGAGACACAAUGGUAAAGAUUUAGACAGAUAUACUGUUAGAGGCUAGUGGUGUGACAUUUAGGAUAUUGCAUUUCAAUUUAAAUUCAUCUGAAUGAAUGUUUCAGCAAUAUGUGAUUGGUCUUUUUUUUUAGAGAAACAACAUUUGCAGUUUAAUACGCUUUAAAUUUGAAAUAUACAUUUUAUUUUAAUUGACCUUUAUAGCCCUUCUGUUUUAUUCAACAUUUUAUAUUUAGUACACUGAUCAAAGCACUAGAAUGUAGUUCAUGACCCCAUUUAUUUACCAGCCUAUAUAUAUAUAUAGGUAAUAAAUAUCUGGAAGCAAAUCUCUGUGUCUGUUGU